rnacentral:tRNA from 1 species
AAAAUCCGUCGACUUUAGAAAUCGUGAGGGUUCAAGUCCCUCUAUCCCCAAAAAGCCCAUUUGACUCCCUAACUAUUUAUCCACUCCC